rnacentral:rRNA from 1 species
UACGGAGGGGGCUAGCGUUAUUCGGAAUUAUUGGGCGUAAAGGGCGUGUAGGCGGCUUCGUAAGUCUUGUGUGAAAGCCCUCGGCUCAACCGAGGAAUUGCACGAGAAACUGCGUGGCUCGAGUCCGGGAGAGGAUAGUGGAAUUCCCAGUGUAGCGGUGAAAUGCGUAGAGAUCGGGAGGAACAUCUGUGGCGAAGGCGGCCAUCUGGACCAGCACUGACACUGAGGCACGAAAGCGUGGGGAGCAAACAGG